rnacentral:rRNA from 1 species
UACGUAGGCAGCAAGCGUUGUUUCGGAAUUACUGGGCGUAAAGAGUGUGUAGGCGGUGUUCUAAGUCUGUUGUGAAAUCUCCCGGCUUAACUGGGAGGGUGCGGCGGAAACUGGAAUGCUAGAGGAUGGGAGAGGUAGGCGGGAAUUCCUGGUGUAGCGGUGAAAUGACGUAGAUAUCAGAGGAACACCUGUGGUGUAGACAGCUUACUGGACCAUUUCUGACGCUGAGACACGAAAGCGUGGGUAGCAAACAGG